AGUGAACGCUGGCGGUAGGCCUAACACAUGCAAGUCGAACGGCAGCACAGUAAGAGCUUGCUCUUACGGGUGGCGAGUGGCGGACGGUUGAGGAAUACAUCGGAAUCUACUUUUUCGUGGGGGAUAACGUAGGGAAACUUACGCUAAUACCGCAUACGACCUACGGGUGAAAGCAGGGGAUCUUCGGACCUUGCGCGAUUGAAUGAGCCGAUGUCGGAUUAGCUAGUUGGCGGGGUAAAGGCCCACCAAGGCGACGAUCCGUAGCUGGUCUGAGAGGAUGAUCAGUCACACUGGAACUGAGACACGGUCCAGACUCCUACGGGAGGCAGCAGUGGGGAAUAUUGGACAAUGGGCGCAAGCCUGAUCCAGCCAUGCCGCGUGGGUGAAGAAGGCCUUCGGGUUGUAAAGCCCUUUUGUUGGGGAAGAAAAGCAGCAGGUUAAUACCCCGCUGUUCUGACGGUACCCAAAGAAUAAGCACCGGCUAACUUCGUG
rnacentral:rRNA from 1 species